rnacentral:rRNA from 1 species
CGAAAGCAGGGAGCGAAAGGGAUUAGAUACCCUGUAGUCCUGGCGUAAACGAUGAACACUAGGUGUCGGGGGAAUCGACCCCUUCGGUGUCGUAGCUAACGCGUUAAGUGUUCCGCCUGGGGAGUACGCACGCAAGUGUGAAACUCAAAGGAAUUGACGGGGGCCCGCACAAGCGGUGGAGUAUGUGGUUUAAUUCGAUGCAACGCGAAGAACCUUACCAGGGUUUGACAUCCUGCGAACCUCUUAGAAAUUUGAGGGUGCCUUCGGGAAUGCAGUGACAGGUGGUGCAUGGCUGUCGUCAGCUCGUGUCGUGAGAUGUUGGGUUAAGUCCCGCAACGAGCGCAACCCACGUUUUUAGUUGCCAGCAUUAAGUUGGGCACUCUAGAAAGACCGCCGGUGAUAAACCGGAGGAAGGUGUGGAUGACGUCAAGUCAUCAUGCCCCUUACACCCUGGGCUACACACGUACUACAAUGCUACGGACAAAGGGCAGCAAACUCGCGAGAGCUAGCAAAUCCCAUAAACCGUGGCUCAGUUCAGAUCGUAGGCUGCAACUCGCCUACGUGAAGUAGGAAUCGCUAGUAAUCGCAGGUCAGCAUACUGCGGUGAAUACGUUCCCGGGCCUUGUACACACCGCCCGUCACACCAUGGAAGUUGGCCAUGCCCGAAGUCGUUACUCCAACCCUUGUGGAGGAGGACGCCGAAGGUGGGGCUAAUGACUGGGGUGAAGUCGUAACAAGGUAGCCGUA